rnacentral:rRNA from 1 species
AAUACCCAGACAGCCAGGAUGUUGGCUUAGAAGCAGCCAUCAUUUAAAGAAAGGCAUCCAACGCCAUUCAUGGCCAUAUCAAUGAUUUUCUGGUGCGUACCGGGUUGAGCGGCGGGUCUGUGUUUCAAAGCGAACGUAUCACUUAAAGCGAUUCAGCGGGUUACGAUUGACGGAGCGAAGCGACGUCAAAGCGUAUACAAAGUCGAGUCGGUUUAAGGAUACGUUCGUUGGGUAGGGGAGCGUUCUGUAAGCCUGUGAAGGUGGCCUGUGAGGGUUGCUGGAGGUAUCAGAAGUGCGAAUGCUGACAUAAGUAACGAUAAAGCGGGUGAAAAGCCCGCUCGCC